GGGCGGGUGUCGACGUGUUUGUGAAAAAGGGAAAGGCAGAGGGGAGAGCAGCGCUUCAGCGUGUGGAUACGCGGAGAGGGCUGAUGGUUAGAGGACAUGUAAGUGGCGUCGGCCUCAGCUCCCCAAAGCUGUAGGCUUUGGCUGGGAGAGGCGUGGCGCACUCUGCCCCUCCAAACCGAAAACCACCUGUAUGGAUGUCCAGACCUACAGUGUGAACCAGUCGCCCUCGUCCGUCAGGCACAGGGGCAGGAACGCGACCGACAGCCAGGGUUAUGUCGAGGUUGAGGAGGGCGUCAUGACGGUGGAAAACAUGCUGGAGGAGUCCGCCGUGCUCUCGGCGCCUCACCUGUCGGUGGAUCGAUAUGAGCGCGGCCGCCAGGGAUGCUGCGAGAGGGUGGUGAUCAACAUUUCGGGUUUACGCUUCGAGACGCAACUUAAAACUUUCAACCAGUUCCCAGACACGCUGCUGGGGGACCCCAGGAAAAGGAUGCGCUACUUUGACCCACUGAGGAACGAGUACUUCUUUGACAGGAACAGACCGAGCUUUGAUGCCAUCCUCUACUACUAUCAGUCAGGGGGGCGCAUACGGAGACCUGUUAACGUCCCCAUUGAUAUUUUCUCCGAGGAGAUCAAGUUUUAUCAACUCGGGGAGGAGGCCAUGGAGAAAUUCCGUGAUGAUGAAGGGUUUAUAAAAGAAGAGGAGCGCAUAUUGCCCAAAUAUGAUUUCCAAAAGCAGGUUUGGCUUUUGUUUGAGUAUCCUGAGAGCUCUGGGCCAGCAAGGGGAAUAGCCAUCGUUUCAGUGCUUGUUAUUUUGAUUUCAAUUGUUAUUUUCUGCAUGGAAACUCUGCCGGAAUUUCGGGAUGAAAUAGACCAAGCCACACUGGCACCCGCGAUCAAUGGCACCGCUCUCCAUGUGCAAAGCCCGUUCACAGACCCCUUCUUUGUGAUAGAGACUCUGUGCAUCAUAUGGUUCUCUUUCGAGUUGCUGGUCAGGUUUUUCGCCUGCCCCAGCAAAACUUCCUUCUCCAAAAACAUCAUGAAUAUCAUUGACAUCGUCGCCAUAAUCCCCUACUUUAUCACUUUGGGGACUGAGCUGGCGGAGAGGCAGACCAACAGCGGCCAACAGGCGAUGUCCCUCGCCAUCCUGAGGGUGAUAAGACUGGUGAGGGUCUUUCGCAUUUUUAAGCUGUCACGACAUUCAAAGGGUCUUCAGAUUUUGGGACAGACCCUCAAGGCCAGCAUGAGGGAGCUCGGCUUGCUUAUAUUUUUCCUGUUCAUCGGGGUUAUUCUCUUCUCCAGCGCGGUUUACUUUGCCGAAGCAGACGACCCUUCGUCCAGUUUCACCAGCAUCCCAGAUGCGUUUUGGUGGGCAGUGGUCACCAUGACCACAGUCGGAUAUGGAGACAUGCAUCCGGUGACCAUUGGUGGGAAAAUAGUGGGAUCCCUGUGCGCAAUAGCAGGCGUACUGACCAUUGCCUUACCCGUGCCAGUGAUUGUGUCCAAUUUCAACUACUUUUACCACAGGGAAACUGAUGGAGAGGAGCACCCACAGUACGUGCACACUGAAAGCUGCGAGCACCUCCCCUCGGAGGAACUGAGGAGGUCGUGCAGCUCCUCAUCCCUCAGCAAGUCUGAGUACAUGGUGAUCGAGGAGGGCAUCAACAGUGCGUUCAAACAGACCAACUUCACCACCGAAAACAACCAGAACUGCGUGAACAUCAAAAAGAUCUUCACAGAUGUAGACCCGUCUUUGCUGAGUGUUCAGUUUCACCCACAGACCAAGAACGACGUCAGUCCUGCCCUUGCUGCCAUGUAGCUCACAGCUCCAGGUGCUCUGCCUCAGAACUGCUGAGUGGUUUUGUUCCCUCUGUCUCCCCUGCUGGAAUUCAAGUCCUUCUUCAAUGUAUUUUUAACCAGGGGAAAUGAAAACGUGUCUGUGAGUUACCCAGCACUGUUAUUUGUCUCCUGUAGAGCUCGACGGCAGUGCUGGCACGGAACACCUGGAGUUCAGCCUGUCUUGUUCUGGUUUGUUGAGAGGGCUGAAUAUCAAACUGCAGGGCCAAAUGACCAGAUGCUGUUGUGGCAGUGAAAUAAUGUGAAUAAUGGACUUGGAUUCAUC